UUUAUAGCAAAAAAAUGACUCUUAAUCUGGGACGGAGGGAGUAUUAAUUUAUACUUGCAUCCACGUCGCUUUCAGCAUACUCUAAUCACCAUGUGAAUAUUUUUUACUUAAUAAAAGUUGGAAAAUAAACAAAGAGUAGAAUUCGCGGAGACAUCAUCAAUGGAGCCACCGAUCCUCCGUUCAAUUCCGACAUUCGGCGUCGCCACCGCCUCACUCCGCCGCUCCUACAUGUGUUACAACUGCAAUUACCCCUUCCAUAUAUCCCCCACCGCUGCCGCGAUCGCAGACACAUCAUCAUCCUCCGCCAUCCCCUCUUCCUUCCGCUGCCCUCGCUGCCACCUCCGCCACCUCAUCUCCCACCACACAAUCUGCGCAGCGCCUAGUCCUCCUCCUCCCCCUCCCUCCCGCCCUACGCGGCGGCGCAAGGAUGAUCCUCCUCCUGUUAUCAUCAGUAGCACUACUUCAGCAGCUCCGUCGACGCAGCCGUGCUCAAUUUGCCUAGAGGAUUUCGAUAUUAGCUCCGAUGCAGCUAGUGUAACGCCGUGCAAGCAUUAUUUCCACAAGGAUUGUCUCGCGCCAUGGCUCCGAAGGAAGAAGACUUGCCCCAUGUGCCGCCGCGAAUUGCCCUACAAAAUUCGACGGUUUCGGAGAUGGGCAUCAGUGAUCGCGCGCGAUGUGGACGGAGAUACCUUGAUGAGAGACGCAUGAGCUCUUUUGAUACAUGUAAAAGCAGUCUUGUGCAAACAUAUAGGAGCUGUUCUUCAAGAGCUUGCUGUCAUGGUCGGGGACAGCGUCUUUUGUACAGAGUUUGUCUUUUGAGUUAAUCUUUUGCAAAGUUAGCGCUGUGCAGGGAUGGACCAAUAGGUAGAAAGGCAAGAGGUUUUCUUUGAUGAAAUUUAGAAAAUUAAAAGGAAUAAUUCCUAUAGAGUUUUUGGUGUCUCCUAUCAUUUAGUGAGGGGAUGGAUAUGGUUUCAUUUCAUUUCACAAACAGGGUUAGAAAAGGGGGUGGUAGAAUGGGAUGGAAUAAAUAGAAUUUUGUAUUUAAGUUUCAUUCUUAUAUUUAUUAAUAAAUGAAAUUUUUAUCGGAGGAACACAAAGCAUUCUUUCCAUUACAAUGGUAGGAAUUAACUUUUACAUGUAUGGCAAAGGUAAGUGAGAUUUUUGUUCAAUAUAUUGAAAAAAUGAUGAAAACUAUGAAAAAUAAAAUUAUGAUACAAGUUUUGAGGAAAUUACAAUCUUACUGUCAGUAGAUCUUCCCCUGGUUGCCUGCUAUGGAGGCAAGUGCUUCUUUUACCCUACAAAAAUGAUAUAUAGUCACAUAGGAUAAUCUUUAUAAUUUUUAUUUCCAAUGCUUACUGCCUGUAUUUCUGUUAUGUAUAGCCUGUUUGCAACAGUUCAAAGCAUGUAUCACAGCAUCUUAUUCAUAUAUCAAUACUAUAAUUCUUAAGAUAAUUAUUUUUAUUUUGAUUCCUCAUGUUGGUAUAAAUUCUGUUAUUGGUGUCCGUUUUCCCAAUAUCAACAUCGCUUACCCUGAAUUCAUAGCACCUUGGUAUGGCACUAGACAUUGAAGAAGAUGUAAAGAUUAUUGUAUUUUCUUUCAGUAUGCUGCAAGACUCAACAACCUUGUUGAGGUUUUGAUGUUCAUUAGUUCAGUAUUACAUAAAAUUUUGUCCUAUACCAUUGUCAUCUGGCUGGCUCAUUAUCUUGGCUAUGUAAUGACAGUGAUAGUAUAUGAGGACAUCAAAACUGAUGAAAACUAUGAAAAGUAAAAUUUUGGUAGGAGUAUAAGUUUUGAGAAAAUUCUGCCAGUUGAUCUUCUCCUAGUUGCUUGCUAUGUUGGAGGUAAGUUCUUUUACCCUGCAAUAAUGAUUUAAAGUCACAUAGGAAAAUCUUUAUGAUUUCUAUUUCCAAUGCUUACUGCCUGUUUCUGUGUUAUGUGUAGCAUGUUUGCAACAGUUCUAAGCAUAUAUCAGAGCAUCUUAUUCGUAUAUCAAAACUGUAAUCCUUAAGAUCAUUAUUUAUUUAGAUUCCUCGUGUUGAUUUCUGCUAUUGGCAUUCCGUGUUCGUUUGCCCAAUCCUAAAUAUCAGCUUAUCCAUGGAUUCAUAGUAUCUUGGCACGGUGCUAGACAUGGAAGAAGGUGUAAAGAUUAUUGUGUUUUCUUUCAGUGUGUCUUCCUUCCUCUUUCUGGAAGCGAACUCCUUGUCCGAUUUGAGCAUGAAAAGCAGUGUUCAACAACCUUGUUGAAGUUUUAAUGUUCACCAGUCAGUAUCACAUAAACUUUUGUCCUAUACCAUUGAUGCCUGUGUUGGCUCAUUAUCUUGGCUAUGUAAUAACAACAGUGGUAGUAUAUGAAUACAUCGAAAACCAGUACUGCCAUAGUAACUGAUGUCUCCCUGUGACUUUGUUUAUUUUGCAUUCGAUAGUUUAUGUUAUGCAGUCGAUAUUAUGAAAGUGCUUUAUGAGGAAUACAGGUAGGAAUUUGGGUCGGAUGCAUAUUCCUACCCGUCUUCUCUUUCCUUCAGAUGAUGAUAUUGCAUGAUUCUAAAGUUUUGGCUGCAGUUGGUAUGGAAGGAUGAGCAAACAUUUAACCUUCUUGAAUAAGGUAUGCACUCUCCAGCCAUUGUCGUGCCUCUGUCAUUGAUACAUUGUUCUGAUAUAUGUGGAAUCUUGGAUGAAGAAUAACAGACAGAAGCUCAGAGUUAUAACUUAAGGGCUCGUUUGAUAAGCUAGUAAUGUCUAGAUAUAGAUAUUUAUCUAUUCAUUUCUAAAUGUUUGGUAUCAUAGUUAAACUACCAUACAAGCCUGUGUUUAGCCCUAUGGCCCAUCUUGGCCCGUAGAUUUAGCCUCAAAAUGGAGUGAUAUGUAUCUUACAAAAUUCAUCGGAUAGUAUUACCGCCUCAAUUUUAUGUACCCAGAAAAAAAAAUUAUCUCCUUAUACCCUUCGCUUCAGUCUUCCAAUUCCAAUAUACAAUCUUGACUUCCAACAUAGAUGCUCUUCAAGAAUGUGACUUUAUCAUCUGCAAAACUUCAUCUGAUGAGUACAUAUGUAAUCUGCAAAAUCUUCUAAUAUAUCUAUUUCUCUCUAAUCUUCUUGAUGAAAUUAUUUGUGAAUUAUCAAUCUGCUGCCUAUUGUGGGUUUCCAUUUUACUCUGACAUAGACGAAGGUAUAUACUUUUUUCCGAUCGGCGUAGCAAAUCCCAUUUUCGGUGCAGCCAAACGCCUCUCUUGUGAUUGAAUUAUUGUUAUUUUAUGCUCCCAAUUCAAUAUCAUCGGUGGGUUUUGUUGGCUAUGGUUGAUUGAGAAUAAAUAUUUUUCUUAGUUUUUUUAAAUCUUUGUUUGUGGUUAAAUCUUGCAAAGUGACUUCGUACUCUUCUUCUAUGAGAAUUGUCUGAGGUUUAACACAUUUUGGGCAGGUCUCUCAGAGUCACAAUCUAGCAAAGGCAGGUGCUAGGGAAAUAUCGAUGGAAAACAGAGAUGAAAUUAGGAUGAAACUUUUUUUCCACGAAGAGUAUUUUUAUAUAACAAGGUAGGGACAUUUUAGGAAAUAAAUAGACUUAAUAAAGUCAAAUACAUCAUUGCAUAUUUAUUUCUAAUUUCAUAACUUCCCAAUCAAACAAAGUGGGCUUAUAAGAAAAAGUUUAACUAAAGUAUCAAACGAGUGUUAUUAAAAUCAAAUCUUUAUCUAACUUGGCCUUAAAUCUUGAUCACUAACUAACCUAGGCAUAUCCCAAAUCACUUAUCAAACAGGCCAUAAAAGUAGUUCUAUCGAACUCACAUUGUUGAGAAACUUAUUUGAUAAGUCGCAAACGAUUUCUUGUUAAGAAACUUACUAGUAUUUGAUAAGUCGCGAACAAUUUCUUGUUAAGAAACUCGUGUUUGUUCUUUGCUGGUUUUUUGCUGUCUGCUCACCAUUAUGUGAUUUUUUGAGCAUUUUUCAUUAUAAAUAAAUCUUGCUAACAUUGGCACAGGAAACUCAAGCCUGUAUAUAUCCAAGCCCCUUGGCCUAGCGGUAAAGGGUGCUGGAUACCGCCUCCAUCCUGGAGGUCUCGAGUUCGAAGGAG